GAUAAACGCUAGCGGCAGGCUUAACACAUGCAAGUCGAGGGGCAGCAUAGAUUGUAGCAAUACAAUUAGUGGCGACCGGCGCACGGGUGCGUAACGCGUAUGCAACCUACCCGUCACAGGGGGAUAAUCCGGAGAAAUCUGGUCUAAUACCCCAUAACAUAUGGAUCGGCAUCGGUUCAUGUUGAAAUUUUCGGAGGUGACGGAUGGGCAUGCGUAGCAUUAGCUUGUUGGUGAGGUAACGGCUCACCAAGGCGACGAUGCUUAGGGGGACUGAGAGGUUUUCCCCCCACACUGGUACUGAGACACGGACCAGACUCCUACGGGAGGCAGCAGUGAGGAAUAUUGGUCGAUGGGCGGAAGCCUGAACCAGCCAUGCCGCGUGCAGGAAGACGGCUCUAUGAGUUGCAAACUGCUUUUAUACGAGGGUAAUAGUAUCUACGUGUAGGUAUUUGAAAGUAUCGUAUGAAUAAGGAUCGGCUAACUCCGUGCCAGCCGCCGCAGUAA
rnacentral:rRNA from 1 species